rnacentral:lncRNA from 1 species
CCGGGAAAGGAAAAGGUAUAACCUGAAUCUGGUCUUCUUGCUUGCUCGCUUGUGAUUUGGAGUGUGGGACUGUGACCAUUUUCUUGUUCGGGGCGUGGAACUGUGAUCUCUUAAGUAUGUUGAAAUCUUGGGGAUGAUUUAGAGUAAUAUACAAGCGGAAUCUUGGGCAAAUGUUGGGGACAGUUUCAUGAUUAUGACCAGGAGUUCUUCUUGCGGUGCAGUAUGAAUUUAGAACGAACGAGCAUCUUGUUGUGAUUAUUCGAAACUAUUCAAGAUUUAGGUGUCCAGUCUUGUGCUAAUUGAUUCUUCUAUUCAGUGUGAUGACAUAUUUUGCUGCAAGUUGCUGUGAUACUUUAACAAGAAAUCCUUAAGCCAAAAUGAAUCAGUUUUCAGUGUAAAUGAGUUGUAUUAUAGGAGAAAUUAGUCUGAAUGUUUGCACUGGAUUACUUAACUUGACAUACAUUAUCUGGAUCCUCAGCCACUUUUAUGCAAAAGCCUUUGAUCUCUUACUCCACCCUGGAGUUUGGUCGAGAAGUUUGGGCCUUUGGUCAUCUGUUACCUGAAAGUUUGAAUCUGAUUACGAAGCCUUGGAAGUCGAAACUCAGUUCAUAUAAAAAUCAGCAGGAGUAGAGAGGAUUUGGAUAGCUCCACAUUCUUUAAUCUUCUUAGUCCUUUCACCUUGCUAAUACAAAAUCUGUGAAUCCUGAUGCUAACUCUGUGGAGUAGGAGAAGAAACUACCACAAGUCAAGGUGAGACCCAGGCCUGAAAAGGGGAAAUCGCUCUGGAGUCGGCUCAAGAACAAGGUGUGACCUGAAUCUUGUUUAUUCUUCGCACUUGUGAUUUCCUUGGGUGGUAUGGCCAUAUGAGCAUUCUUGUACUUACCUACUUUAUGUGCACAGAAACUGGAAUUGGGAUUCUUGAUUUCUCUUUGUUCGUGUUAAUUCUGGACCUGCUAAUUUAAUCAAGGCAAGGAAUCUUGGUUAGAGCAUCAUGUGGCAUCCUAGAGUAGAGGAGGAAUCUUGGGCAAAUGUUGACAGCAGUACACACACCCUUGUUGCUCGUGGGUCUUUCCGAACUCUGCAUCAUAUUUUGAAGCGAAAAUGUGUGGAAAUCAGGAGGUCAUCUGUUACCUGAAAGUUUGAUUCUGACUAUGAAGCCUCGAAAAUCGAAACUCAAUUCAUAUAAAAAUCGGCAAGAGUAGAGAGGAGUUGGAUAGCUCAACAUUUUUCAAUCUUGUUAGUCCUUUCGCCUUGCUAAUACGAAAUGUGUGAAUCCUGAUGCUAACUCUGUGGAGUAG